rnacentral:rRNA from 1 species
GGACGUGUGGUUCUAUUUUGUUAGUUUCUAGGACCGCCGUAAUGAUUAAUAGGGACAGUCGGGGGCAUCAGUAUUCAAUUGUCAGAGGUGAAAUUCUUGGAUUUAUUGAAGACUAACUACUGCGAAAGCAUUUGCCAAGGAUGUUUUCAUUAAUCAGGAACGAAAGUUAGGGGAUCGAAGACGAUCAGAUACCGUCGUAGUCUUAACCAUAAACUAUGCCAACUAGGGAUCGGACGAUGUUAUUUUUUGACGCGUUCGGCACCUUACGAGAAAUCAAAGUGCUUGGGCUCCAGGGGGAGUAUGGUCGCAAGGCUGAAACUUAAAGAAAUUGACGGAAGGGCACCACCAGGGGUGGAGCCUGCGGCUUAAUUUGACUCAACACGGGGAAACUCACCAGGUCCAGACACAAUGAGGAUUGACAGAUUGAGAGCUCUUUCUUGAUUUUGUGGGUGGUGGUGCAUGGCCGUUCUUAGUUGGUGGAGUGAUUUGUCUGCUUAACUGCGAUAACGAACGAGACCUUAACCUGCUAAAUAGACCGUAUUGCUUUGGCAGUACGCCGUCUUCUUAGAGGGACUAUCGGCUCAAGCCGAUGGAAGUUUGAGGCAAUAACAGGUCUGUGAUGCCCUUAUAUGUUCUGGGCCGCACGCGCGCUACACUGACGGAGCCAGCGAGUACUCCCUUGGCCGGAAGGCCCGGGUA